rnacentral:lncRNA from 1 species
AGGAGUCUGGGCUGUGGAGUGCCCUUUCAACCCUGGAUUCUACACGUCUGGGAGCUUCUGCAAAUAUUCCUGUAUUUGGAUGGAACACAGAGAAAUCCCUCCCAGAAUGUCAAGUGCCCCCAACCAGAGGACCUGCCCCAGGAGCCCAGGAAUGCUCAUGCCCUAGCUGGAGAACUGAGGUUGGAUAGGAGCUGGAGCUAGAAGACCGGCUGAGUCUAAAGGCAAGCCAUUAUAGAGAUCUCAUGGAGACUCAGUGGAACACAAGAGGGAAACUCCAUUGGCCUCAGAAAGCCUCAGUGAACUGGAACUCGGAAUGCACAAGUUAUAAGAUCUUUGGUCCUGCGUGAUGCCUGCAAUGUGAUGGGUCGAGCA